UGGGGAAUCUUGCGCAAUGGGCGAAAGCCUGACGCAGCCAUGCCGCGUGAAUGAUGAAGGUCUUAGGAUUGUAAAAUUCUUUCACCGGGGACGAUAAUAACGGUACCCGGAGAAGAAGCCCCGGCUAACUUCGUGCCAGCAGCCGCGGUAAUACGAAGGGGGCUAGCGUUGCUCGGAAUUACUGGGCGUAAAGGGAGCGUAGGCGGACAUUUAAGUCAGGGGUGAAAUCCCGGGGCUCAACCUCGGAAUUGCCUUUGAUACUGGGUGUCUUGAGUAUGAGAGAGGUGUGUGGAACUCCGAGUGUAGAGGUGAAAUUCGUAGAUAUUCGGAAGAACACCAGUGGCGAAGGCGACACACUGGCUCAUUACUGACGCUGAGGCUCGAAAGCGUGGGGAGCAAACAGG
rnacentral:rRNA from 1 species